CUGAAAUGUCUCUAUGAGAUGGAAAUGUCUCUACGAGUUGUUUCUACAGACACAAUCCACAUUGGAAGAGAAGAAACCUCUGCGCAUCCCUCCCACUCUAUCCCAUCCAAGGUUUGUACCCACUGAAGCAUGACAACUCAAAGUUCAGACUGAACCUUCAUCCUCAGCAAAUUCCAUUGUGUGUGAAAAGGAAAACAAACAAGAUUAUUUAGAAUUGGGAAAUGUAAAAAUGCAGAAAAGAAGAGUUAAAGGAGCAAAAGAAAUUGGUUGAAGAGGCAAAAUGGAAGACGUUGCAAAACAUAUAAGCUCAGAAUGCCCCCUUUUCAAAAUCACAUGGCACAACCAGUACAUGCUAGGUGCAGUG